GAAUAUUGGGAGAAAAUAAUGAAUUAAUUUCAUGAUUUUCAUCAUCUAUAUUUGCAGGGAUCCAUUCACAUGCUAUUGUCAUGAUUGAAACAGAAAGAAGAAGACCUUUGAGCAAUUCAAAGGAAUUCAAGAUGUGGAAUUUAUAUAAGGGGUUCAAACCAGGUGGGUCUUCUCUGGCCCAUGCUUUUGGUUUAGUUUGGAUUCUUAGAUAACUUGCCAGAAUUGAUCAGAAAAAAUGCGUUUGGGCACCAGUACAAUGGCCAGCAGUGUCUACCUAAAGAGACAUUCUACACCUCAGGAUGUUUGCCAAGAUUUUGCACCAGUGGCAAGAAUGAUGGAAGCAGCAACUUUCAAAUUAAGACAUUU